UGGGGAAUAUUGGACAAUGGGCGCAAGCCUGAUCCAGCCAUGCCGCGUGAGUGAUGAAGGCCCUAGGGUUGUAAAGCUCUUUUGUGCGGGAAGAUAAUGACGGUACCGCAAGAAUAAGCCCCGGCUAACUUCGUGCCAGCAGCCGCGGUAAUACGAAGGGGGCUAGCGUUGCUCGGAAUCACUGGGCGUAAAGGGUGCGUAGGCGGGUCUUUAAGUCAGGGGUGAAAUCCUGGAGCUCAACUCCAGAACUGCCUUUGAUACUGAGGAUCUUGAGUUCGGGAGAGGUGAGUGAAACUGCGAGUGUGGAGGUGAAAUUCGUAGAUAUUCGCAAGAACACCAGUGGCGAAGGCGGCUCACUGGCCCGAUACUGACGCUGAGGCACGAAAGCGUGGGGAGCAAACA
rnacentral:rRNA from 1 species